UAACACCAGCGCCUCGAGUGAUACCCACGAAUAUUGGGCCUAAAGCGUUCGUAGCCGGCUUUUUAAGUCCGCUGUGAAAUGUUGGGGCUUGACCCUAACGCGUGCAGUGGAUACUGAAAGGCUUGGGAGCAGGGGAGGGAAGAAGUACUUCCGGGGUAGCGGUAAAAUGCGUUGAGCCUGGAAGGACUACCAGUGGCGAAGGCGUCUUCCUAAAACGCGUCCGACGGUGAGGAACGAAAGCUGGGGGAGCAAAUCGGAUUAGAUACCCGAGUAGUCCCAGCUGUAAAUGAUGCAGACUUCGGUGUUUCCUUGGCGUAAGCCAAGGAAGUGCUGUAGAGUAGUUGUUAAGUCUGCCGCCUGGGGAGUACGACCGCAAGGUUG
rnacentral:rRNA from 1 species